rnacentral:misc_RNA from 1 species
AAGUUGUAACAAGGUUUCCGUAGGUGAACCUGCGGAGGGAUCAUUAACACGUAUCCAUGGAACGUGGCAAUCCCUGGUAAAUCAUCGCCGAACAGUUUUGAUUCAGGGACUUCUGCAAAGAGUGCUGGUUGUAGCGCGAGGCAAGUGGCCUGGCAUUCCUCUGCUUGUUAGUGUCUGAAAGUGUCACUGGCUCUGUAAGAAUGGCGCAGUCACGAUCGCUAGAGGCCGACACGGCCGGCGACCGGGUCACCGGGCUCACGCCCCCCUAUCACCCCUUUGCAUGAAAACGGGCCUGCGCUUAAUUGUGCGGCCAUAAACCGAACAACUGUUAACAAUGGAUAUCUUGGUUCUC